UUCCCCAGGAGUGUCAAGAUCCUGUACCGGAACAAGAUUUUGAAAUGUCACCAAGCAGCCCUACUUUACUUCUUCGAAACAUCGAAAAACAGAGUGCACAGUUGACUGAGAUCAUCAACAGUUUGAUUGCCCCUCUCAACUUGUCCCCAACUUCAUCACCCCUCUCUUCCAAAUCCUGUAGCCAUAAAUGUCUGGCUAAUGGCAUUUACAGGAGAACACAGAGAACAAGGGAAAGCAUCAUGCAAGAUGAGACAAGGGAAAGCAUCAUGCAAGAUGAGAACAAGUUAUGUUAUAUGCCUGCAACCCAAAGGAUCUAAACUACAUCAUUUGGAAGAUUUUUAUUAUUCUCCAGCUUCCAGUUAGAAAUCUAAA
rnacentral:lncRNA from 1 species